UGUGGAGGCUUGUCGACAGCUCUGGAGAGUGUCGGGACAAGUCCGAGUCGCGUUGGCGUCAAAUAGACGCAAAACGGGCUCCGUACGACGCGAGGGCAACUUUCAGCGAAGAAAAUCUGCAAACUGCAGUUUUUCUACUUGCUGUACCGGUACAGCCAUUAAGGUGUACCGGUACACUGCACUGGGGCGCGCGCGGGUUGCUCUCAGGUUGGCUGCCGUACCGGUACGCGAUCCCGUGUACCGGUACACCAGGGUAGGUAGAGGGCUAAAUGAGUAAUUUUCUCUCUCCCUCGUUUGUAUCGCCUCCCUUCUCUUCUUAUGGUGUCCGAACAGAGAGAGAGGGAGAGUUUUACCUGUUCUUCUUCUCUCUCUCUCUCGGUUGAAGGUAGGGAAGAAGCCGGUUGGGGAGUUCGUCGCCGACGUCGCGCCGCGAGCCGUUCGAGUGCGCGUGUGACCGGGGCGCUGCGAGGAGGCCGGGCGAGGGCGUGUCUUCGACGUUACUGUCGCCGCGUCGUAGUUCCUCACUGUGGAGAUUUCCUGCGUCGACUGUUAGUAUUUCGGCUCGUUCUCCGUGUAGGAGCGUCGGAUCGCGACGAAACUUGGUUCAUUGGAUUCUAGACUGCGAGAGGAUUCCACAGAGCCCUCAUUUGCAAUUUUUGGACAAGCUCGGCGACCGGUCUAGGUGGUCCCUGAGGAAUCCGGCAGCAUCGCGGGUGGCCGAGGCUGAGUUCGCUGCCAGGAAAUUGCACUUGAGAGCCGCAGGUACAGGCUGCUGCUUCCUCUGCUGAGCAGGAUCGUGGCAAGGGCGUCGCGAGCUAGAGCCCUACCAGACUGAUCGAGUUAGAGGCGUCCUCCCCUUACAGCAGGUAGUGAUUUUUCUUUUGGAGCUUUUGUACAUAGCAGUUGAACUCGCCAGUGCGAGUGGUUUUGUA